AAACUAGGAUUAGAUACCCUAUUAUUUUUGGAUGUUAAUGUUUUGCCUGAGUAGUAUUAGUUAUGUUCUUGAAACUUAAAGAAUUUGGCGGUAUCUUAUUCCGUUCAGAGGAACCUGUCUCGUUAUCGAUAGUCCACGUUGGACCUUACUUAGUUGUUUAAUUGGUUUGUAUACCGCCGUUUAUUGAUUAUCUUUUUAGGGUUAUACAAUUUUCUUGUUCCUUUAUUUGGUUUAAUUUCAGGUCAAGGUGCAGCUUUCUCUAAGUGUAUUGGUGGGUUACAUUGUUAUUUGUUGGUUUGGAUUGUUGGUUUUAAUUACUGGCAUGAAAUUGGAUUUGAUUGUAAUAUUUUGAAGAUUGUUUUUGUGAUAAUUGGUUCUGAGGUAUGUACACAUCGCCCGUCGCUCUCGUUUUACUUGUUAAUGAGAUAAGUCGUAACAUAGUA
rnacentral:rRNA from 1 species